UUGAUCCUGGCUCAGGACGAACGCUGGCGGCGUGCCUAAUACAUGCAAGUAGAACGCUGAAGAGAGGAGCUUGCUCUUCUUGGAAGAGUUGCGAACGGGUGAGUAACGCGUAGGUAACCUGCCUUGUAGCGGGGGAUAACUAUUGGAAACGAUAGCUAAUACCGCAUAACAAUGGAUGACCCAUGUCAUUCAUUUGAAAGGGGCAACUGCUCCACUACAAGAUGGACCUGCGUUGUAUUAGCUAGUUGGUGAGGUAACGGCUCACCAAGGCGACGAUACAUAGCCGACCUGAGAGGGUGAUCGGCCACACUGGGACUGAGACACGGCCCAGACUCCUACGGGAGGCAGCAGUAGGGAAUCUUCGGCAAUGGGGGGAACCCUGACCGAGCAACGCCGCGUGAGUGAAGAAGGUUUUCGGAUCGUAAAGCUCUGUUGUAAGAGAAGAACGAGUGUGAGAGUGGAAAGUUCACACUGUGACGGUAUCUUACCAGAAAGGGACGGCUAACUACGUGCCAGCAGCCGCGGUAAUACGUAGGUCCCGAGCGUUAUCCGGAUUUAUUGGGCGUAAAGCGAGCGCAGGCGGUUAGAUAAGUCUGAAGUUAAAGGCUGUGGCUUAACCAUAGUACGC
rnacentral:rRNA from 1 species